CGAAGCCGUUGAGGGAGCAUCAUUCAUUUGGAUAAGUGAGUGAGAGGAAGAAGAAGAAGAAGAAGCACGAUGGCGACUCUGCAACUAAGCGAUUACUGCAAUCCAGUAAUCGCACUGAAACCUUCGCUCACGUCUUUCUUCAUCAAAACUGACCAUCGCAACUACUGUGGGGUCUCGCGAGUUCGCGUCGUCCCCAGGGCGUGUCUCCAGAAACCGUCGCUCACUCGGCGACACUUGCUGGCGGAGACCGCCGCAAUCUCCGUCGCUCCCCUUAUCAUAGGAAUUGAGCCACCGGCCAAGUCCGAAGAACCGCUUCUUUCCGAGUGGGAAAGAGUUUACCUUCCCAUCGACCCCGGCGUUGUUCUUCUCGACAUCGCUUUUGUUCCCGACGACUUGCGUCACGGUUUUCUGCUGGGAACUAGGCAGACAAUUAUGGAGACAAAAGAUGGAGGAAACACUUGGGUUCCACGAUCAAUACCCUCGGCUGAAGAUGAAGAUUUCAACUACAGAUUUAAUUCAAUUAGUUUCAAAGGGAAGGAGGGGUGGAUUGUUGGAAAACCUUCAAUUCUGUUGUAUACUUCUGAUGCUGGAGAAAGCUGGGAAAGAAUACCCUUAAGUGCCCAACUUCCUGGAGAUAUAGUAUAUAUAAAGGCAACAGGAGAGAAGAGUGCAGAGAUGGUAACAGAUGAAGGUGCAAUUUAUGUUACUUCAAACAGAGGCUACAAUUGGAGGGCAGCUGUUCAGGAGACUGUCUCAGCUACUCUUAAUAGAACAGUUUCUAGUGGUAUUAGUGGUGCAAGUUACUAUACAGGCACUUUCAAUACUGUAAAUCGAUCCCCAGAUGGAAGCUAUGUUGCUGUUUCAAGUCGUGGUAACUUCUACCUCACUUGGGAGCCUGGGCAGCCAUACUGGCAACCCCAUAACAGGGCAGUUGCAAGAAGAAUCCAAAACAUGGGAUGGAGAGCUGAUGGUGGCCUUUGGCUUCUUGUACGUGGUGGGGGACUUUAUCUCAGCAAAGGCACAGGGAUUUCGGAGGACUUUGAAGAGAUUCCAGUACAAAGUCGGGGUUUUGGCAUUCUUGACGUUGGAUACCGUUCAAAGGAAGAGGCUUGGGCAGCUGGGGGCAGUGGGAUUCUGUUGAGAACCACAAAUGGUGGCAAGACAUGGACCCGUGAUAAAGCAGCUGACAAUAUUGCUGCAAAUCUCUAUUCAGUAAAGUUUAUAGAUGACACAAAGGGGUUUGUGCUAGGAAAUGAUGGAGUUUUGCUUCGGUUUCUUGGAUAAAGUAAUAAUUUACAACAUGGUAAUCAACUGAAUCUCCCUGUCAGAACUAGCCCCUUUUUAGUUUGGCAAUGAGGCUUGCAAUUUUGUACUGCUUAACCACGGUAUGAUGUGCCAUUGUUUGAUGCUGUAAAAACUGGCCUAAAUUUCAUUGAAAUUAUUAUAUUGUAAUUACUAUGUAACUAUUUUAUUCAUAAAAAUUACUCGGUUCAUGUUGAGGAAUUAUCCUUACCACCAAAUUCAUACGGAAAACUGUUACCCAAAACAAGAUGGGCAUUAUAAUUUACUGGACGAGUGAUGGAUUGCAACUAUUCAGUACA